AAGUUGUGGCAUCUUAGAGAAAUAACCAUGAGCUUCUUUUCCUGUUAGGACUGUGGCUGGAACAACACUGAGAUUCAGGCAGCAGGCAGGAUCUGGGACCAGAAGUGUACUAUACCUUGACUGUUAGAGGCCAAGAGGGCAUGAAUGGAGACGUGGCAAAGACAGACUUGCCACCACAAGGACACCUGGGCUGAAUUUUGAAAUUCCAGCUUUCAGCAAGAAGGGUGCUCUGACUACAAUUGAGUGACUGAUUAGUCACACAAUCUCUGGCCUGGAACAGGACCAACCCACAUGAUUGUCAAUGGAAGGUUUCAUAGCUGAAAGAAUUGAUGAAUUCAUUGACAAACUGAAGGACCUAAAUCAAAGAGCUUCCCUUUUCACUGUGAUCAUUGAUAAUCUCUUUGGAAACAGCUUUGUAGAAGACCCACAUGCUCCCCACAAAAAAAAAUUGCUUUGGUGAUGACAUACUAUAACCAGACCCCACAGCAAGUUGAGAUACUGAGACUCCAAGCAGAAGCACAAGAAGAGAAGUAGGAAGAGGAAGACCUUAGAAAUAAAGUCUUCCAGUUCAACACAAACUUCUCAGAGUGCAAUGGCAUAGCUCAGACCAACAGGAAGCUUGUCCAAAUCAUCCUCUUUAAAGAGGUUAUCAUCAUGGCCACUAACUACAAGAAUUGUGGACAUUGAACUAAUGAGAUGAAGUUUAGAGAAGCAGUAGAGCUCUUGAGUAUCAGCAUCACCAUCCACAUCACAGAUCCCUCAGACAUGAGCUCUUCAAGUCUGAGACCUGUAGCAUGGAAAUCUCGGAACUGGGUUUUGAUCUGAGAAUGGCUGUUCUUGCAGGAUAAGUUUACUCUAGAAGGGCUACUGAAAGAUAUCUGAGAAUUGGUAACCAAGAACCUAUUCACAGUGGGAGACAGCAUGAAUCCUGACUAGUUAGGGAGACUGCAGGAGUUUAACCAGAAUCAAGCAGAAGAUGAAGGCCUACUUAACCAUGAAUGAUACAGCAAGAAACAGAUACCUACAGAAUGUGUCUGUCCCUGAAGAUGAUCUGGAGACAAUGGUAGAGCAGUAAAAGUGUACUUUUGAUCAAAAUGAGGAUUUUGGCCUA
rnacentral:lncRNA from 1 species